CCGGGCGCGGCGCGGGUCUCGCCUCCGGGGAAGGACGGCGCGUGACGUCAUGAGGGCGUUGCGGCACGUCAUCACGUGACGACAGAGGCGGAUGGGGCAGAGUAAAGGAGGGCAGCCGGUAUCACGGGACCUCUUGUAUUGCUGCGGACCCUGUAGCGCACUAGCAGGGACGCUGCGUACACACGUGCGUCUGAGUGGUUUGCGUCCAGCCCUUGUGAAGGGUCUGCAGGGGCGCUGUACAGACGGGGGCGUGCUGCACGUGGGUGCUGGUGGCAGGAAGGCACGUGUGAAGGAACCUUAGAUCUUCAAAAGCUCUGAAUCGGUAUUCUCAGCAAGCCCAGAUAUGAAGGAGGGGUAGCAGGUAUCAUCAGGAUCAACCCAUGCGGAACGCUGUUGGAAAAACUGUUUGCUCUUCAGUAUGCCCUCUUAAUAGCAGUGAAGGUAUCAGCAUGGGUUUUAGCAUUUGCCACUAACCAAAAGAUGUAUGCAGGGACCAUGGGGGAUUUGUACAUUCUAGCUAGACGAAGCCAGUGCAGAUAUAGUAGCAUGGCAUCUGCUACUAUCACACCUUUGUUUUGCUGUGUAGACAUAAGCCAAAAUAUAGUCACCUGUUAGCAGCUGCCUACACACAGCAGUGCCACUGAGACCUCUGGGGUGCUAACUGCUGCAAACUCUAUUGCAACACAGCCUCCUGUCUCCAAGCCCUGUCUUUACAGCAGAUCUUGUGGGCGGCUCCUUAGAAGACAGCUUGCAGCUGUCUUCUGUGCUAGGGGAAUUUCUUCCAGCCGGAUUCAAGGUUUCUAGGCCCCCUUUUUCCUGCUCUGUCCCUUUUACCUGAACAACUUUUUUUUUUUUUAAAAUGAAAAACCUUUGUGUGUUUGUUUCCUAUGUGUAUAAUAUUUCAAAUGAAUCUUUUCUGUGAAGUACAAAUGGUGAAUGUGUGCAGCUGUUUACAGGGAAGGGAAGAGGUUACUAGUGUCUGGAAAGAUCUGGCCUGGAGGCAUGUUAAUGCAAUUCAGCUGAUAAAGAAGGGGAACAGGAGAGAGUGAGCAGCCUGUCAUUGGCUCCAAUAAAGUAAUGGCAGCAGCAAGCUGUGCA
rnacentral:lncRNA from 1 species